GAUGAACGCUGGCGGUAUGCUUUACACAUGCAAGUCGUACGAGAGUUUUUAACUCAAGUGGCGGACGGGUGAGUAACACGUAAGAAUUUGCCUUUAGGAGGGGGACAACAACUGGAAACGGUUGCUAAUACCCCAUAUGCUUUCGAGUGAAAUGGAUUUUUCCGCCUAGAGAGAAGCUUGCGGCUGAUUAGCUUGUUGGUGGGGUAAUGGCCUACCAAGGCGACGAUCAGUAUCUGGUUUGAGAGGACGAUCAGACACACUGGAACUGAGACACGGUCCAGACUCCUACGGGAGGCAGCAGUGGGGAAUUUUCCGCAAUGGCGAAAGCCUGACGGAGCAAGACCGCGUGGGGGAGGAAGGUUUUUGGAUCGUAAACCCCUUUUGUCAAGGAAGAAGCUCUGACGGUACUUGACGAAUAAGCCUCGGCUAACUCCGUGCCCAGCAGCCGCGGUAA
rnacentral:rRNA from 1 species